rnacentral:rRNA from 1 species
GCAUAUCAAUAAGCGGAGGAAAAGAAAAUAACAAUGAUUCCCCUAGUAACUGCGAGUGAAGAGGGACAAGCUCAAAUUUUAAAUCUGUUAGGUAUAACCUAACCGAGUUGUAAUUUGAAGAGGUGUUUUCCGCGUUUUUGGUCAGUCCAAGUCCUUGGGAAUGAGGCAUCAUGGAGGGUGAGAAUCCCGUUCGGCUGAUCAGAUUCGUUUUACAAUACACCUUCAAAGAGUCAAGUUGUUUGGGAUUGCAGCUUAAAAUGGGAGGUAAAUUUCUCCUAAGGCUAAAUAUUGGCGAGAGACCGAUAGCGAACAAGUACCGUGAGGGAAAGAUGAAAAGCACUUUGAAAAGAGAGUUAAAUAGUACGUGAAAUUGUUGAAAGGGAAACGAUUGAAGCCAGUCGUACCGACGAAGAAUCAACUUUUUGGAGUGCGAAUCGAGGUAUUCGAGGAGUUUAAAAGCCCUUGUGUGUUUCCGUAUUCGUGCUUCUUGGGUGCUUUUCUUCGUAUGGUAGGUUAACAUCAAUUUUGGACGUUACAAAAUGACUGGGGGAAUGUAGCUUCGAUUUUUCGAAGUGUUAUAGCCCUUGGUAGAUGUGACGACCGGGAUUGAGGAUUGCAACGAAUGCUUUCGGGCUAUCCGUCUGACCUCUGGUGGUUGCUUUGGGGUCGAAAGCGUGCUUACGACUUUUAAGUUGGCUAUCAAAAGGCUAGAACGUGAUUAAAUUCGUUAAGGAUGUUGACGU